GAUGAACGCUGGCGGCGUGCCUAAUACAUGCAAGUCGAGCGAACAGACGAGGAGCUUGCUCCUCUGACGUUAGCGGCGGACGGGUGAGUAACACGUGGAUAACCUACCUAUAAGACUGGGAUAACUUCGGGAAACCGGCGCUAAUACCGUAUAAUAUAUUGAACCGCAUGGUUCAAUAGUGAAAGACGGUUUUGCUGUCACUUAUAGAUGGAUCCGCGCCGCAUUAGCUAGUUGGUAAGGUAACGGCUUACCAAGGCAACGAUGCGUAGCCGACCUGAGAGGGGGAUCGGCCACACUGGAACGGAGACACGGUCAAGACUCCUACGGGAGGCAGCAGUAGGGAAUCUUCCGCAAUGGGCGAAAGCCUGACGGAGCAACGCCGCGUGAGUGAUGAAGGUCUUCGGAUCGUAAAACUCUGUUAUUAGGGAAGAACAAAUGUGUAAGUAACUAUGCACGUCUUGACGGUACCUAAUCAGAAAGCCACGGCUAACUACGUG
rnacentral:rRNA from 1 species